rnacentral:rRNA from 1 species
AUUGGAGGGCAAGUCUGGUGCCAGCAGCCGCGGUAAUUCCAGCUCCAAUAGCGUAUAUUAAAGUUGUUGUGGUUAAAAAGCUCGUAGUUGAACCUUGGGCCUGGCUGGCCGGUCCGCCUCACCGCGUGCACUGGUCCGGCCGGGCCUUUCCCUCUGUGGAACCCCAUGCCCUUCACUGGGUGUGGCGGGGAAACAGGACUUUUACUUUGAAAAAAUUAGAGUGCUCCAGGCAGGCCUAUGCUCGAAUACAUUAGCAUGGAAUAAUAAAAUAGGACGUGUGGUUCUAUUUUGUUGGUUUCUAGGACCGCCGUAAUGAUUAAUAGGGACAGUCGGGGGCAUCAGUAUUCAAUUGUCAGAGGUGAAAUUCUUGGAUUUAUUGAAGACUAACUACUGCGAAAGCAUUUGCCAAGGAUGUUUUCAUUAAUCAGGAACGAAAGUUAGGGGAUCGAAGACGAUCAGAUACCGUCGUAGUCUUAACCAUAAACUAUGCCGACUAGGGAUCGG